AUUGAACGCUGGCGGCAGGCCUAACACAUGCAAGUCGAACGGUAACACGGUACAGGUUUCUGUUUCCCUGUCGCGUGUCGGGCGGGUGUGUGGUAUCCGUCGGACUCUCCUUUUUCGUGGGGUAUCUCGUAGGAACACUAACGCUUAUACCGUAUCCUCCCUACGGCAGAAAGCGGGGGAUCUUCGGCCCUUGCGCUCUUGUAUGCGCCGAUGUCGGAUUAGCUAGUUGGCGGGGUAAAGGCCCACCAAGGCGACGAUCCGUAGCUGGUCUGAGAGGAUGAUCAGCCACACUGGAACUGAGACACGGUCCAGACUCCUACGGGAGGCAGCAGUGGGGAAUAUUGGACAAUGGGCGCAAGCCUGAUGCAGCCAUGCCGCGUGGAUGAAGAAGGCCUUCGGGUUGUAAAGCACUUUUGGCGGGGAGGAAAAGAAGAAGGUUAAUACCUUGGCGCAUUGACGGUACCCGAAGAAGAAGCACCGGCUAACUUCGUG
rnacentral:rRNA from 1 species